GCAGGUCACACCACAGCACGUCGAGUUGCCUGAGGAAAGCAGGACCCCACCAGAUCUCAGGUGGACUUGGAUGUCAUCUGUCAUGCCCUGCCCCUAAAUCCUCUCGGCUUUCGAUUGGCACUGAGUCGGGAGCUGGGCGUUUUCCCACACAGGACCUUCCAGCACAGCGGGGACUCUCUUCUGCUGAGCCAGCAUCUUUAUCACUUAGGGCUCCAGGGUCACAAGGCAAGCCAAUGGACAAAACCCGUGAAGUCCUCCUGGGGACAGGACGCCCGCUCUCCAGAGCCUCCUCUACCACAGGGUGGGUACUCACUCAGCAGCCCGCACAGCCUGGCCACCAAAAAGCCACUGUGGAACCAGCUCCCGGCUGCUGGCUGUGACACUGCAGGCCCUAGGCAGGUGCCUCCCCCAGAAAUUAACCAGGGAAAGACUGACCAGGGCAACUGGCAAAGCUCGGCAGAGGCCCCUCAGUCACCUGGAUCUGGUGCCGGGACUCCCCAACACCCUUGCCCAUGGCCCACCACAGAGUCCUUAAGCCCCUUUCCACGAGGACAGGCGACCAGGCAGCCGGACCUCUCCACGGCCUCAACUUCAACAGCAAGACGCACCACCGUGCUGCUGGGAAUCUCUGCCCUGCUUUCAUGAGCUCACAGGAAAAGCUGUAGCAAAUCACCAGGAGGCAAGAUCCCUGCUCCACAGAACUGAGGAACACUCACCAGCAGCAGGGGAGGACCAGAGCCAUCCUUCACUCUGGAUGGAGCUGCUAAUUUUGCAAGCAUCUGCUUUCUGGGGAUAAUUCAGGGACCAUGCUCUGUAAUUUCUUCUGUCCGGUGCCUGACUUCUCACAGGGCCUGUCUGGAAACGUUAUAGACAUAGAUCAGGUGAUGACACACUCUGAGGAGACUCAGAAUGAAAGCCUUGUGUGUCCACCCCUGCAGACAUCCUCACCUGAAGCAGAAUAUGCUUAAAUCCAAUACAAAAGCAUCGACACACGCACACGCCCGGAAAACGGAUCAGCGCAUGUCUGACGUGAGCAGCGUGUGUCUGGACGCAGGGCAGAAAGCACUACAGAAGGUCAGGGGAUCCCUCGGGACAGGUAGUUCAUGUCCUCCCACUUGUUGCACUGGGUGAAGGGGAAGGAGCCACCUGUGCCUCCCAGGCAGAGGUGACAUGCCAUGAGCCCUGAGCAGAGCUAGGGGGCACUCGUGCCACACUGGCGAUUCAGCACACAGCCCCAGCCACUGUCCCUGCAGAGAGGACAUGUCAGGACUCCUCCAUGGCUGCUCCUUGGGGCCUCAGGCCCUGGGCGGAGAGGGCUCUGAGUUUGGGGAGGAGCACGCUUCAUUAACUAGAGGCCUGGAGUAUUUUAACCAAAGGCGAUAUUAUUUAACCUACUUUCUUUGCACUUAAUUUUUCUUUGACCGUGAACUUUCUUUCCUUGGAAUGGAUUGCGGGGCUCUGCCUUUUAACGCGCCCUCUGACAGCAGGUGCUGGGGGCUGAGCACAUAGGCACCCGUGGUCUGGCCUGGGCUGGAGCAGAUGGCUUGUGCACCACAGAUUCUCCAAUGUGUGCAUAGCAUCACAGAUUACAGUGGCUCCAGCCAGGUGUGAAGGAGCACACCUGUGGUCCCAGCUACUCGGGAGGCUGAGGCAGGAGGAUUACGAGUUCAAGGCCAGCUGGGCAAGGUAGAAAGACCCUGUCUCAAAAUACAAAGUAAAAAGGGUUGGGGAUAUGUCCCUAGUGCUCAGUGGUAGAGCACCCCAAGGUUCAAUUCCCAGUACUGCAAAGAAAAAAAAAUUACACUGAUUCUGUGGGAAUGGGUUUGAAAUAAGAACUUAUCCUAACUUAUUAUCACCUCCUAAACAUUUUAACAAUAAUCAUGUUUGACUUUUAUGUGGCAUUUUUAGAGCCCACAAAGCAUAUGAUAUCUAUUAUUUAAAUUCACAAUAACCCAACAAGAAGAGCAAGGGUCGUCGUUACUAACAGAUGAGGGAACUGAAAUACAGUGAGGUUAGAAGACCGCCGGGAUCACACAGCUAGCAAACAGUCAAGGUAUUCUAAACCAUAGUCUCUGUUCCAAGCCCAGAGACUGUCGCCUUGGCCUCUGUCUUACCUACACCUGUGCCCAGCACCUCAGUGACAACAGACGGUCUUGCUACUGCCUGGGCUCAGCCUGCUUAGGAAGCUUUGGAAAGGACCUGGGGAAGCAGGAAGCCCAGCUAGAGAGACAUUUACAUUAUAUUACAACUUGGUUCCAACAGAGAUAGAGAGACAGACAGACCAAACAGGCACCAGAAAGGCUAAAGUGUGUGUGUGUGUGUGUGUGGAGAGAGAGAGAGAGAGAGAGAGAGAGAGAGAGUUACAGAUGUUGACACAGAUUAGAUAAGUUAUCAAUGACAUGUGGAUAAAGACAGCUAUUCGGUGGAUAUAGCUGUUACAGAUACAGCUACAUCAUGCAGCUGUGGCUGUGGAUGUGGUUCAGAUAUUUAGUUACAGAUAGAUCAGAUUCUGAUAGAGAGACCAAUAGAAAGUACCCUUUGAACUGACAAAGCUAGGAACUGUUUUGUGCAGCUGAAAAGCCCCAGUGUUCACCCCAUCUCCUGAUGACUCUCCAGUCCACAGCUGGACUUAUUGGAGGAGACCACAGCCUCACCCUGGGAAUGAUCUGCCAACUAGAGUCCUGCCAUGGCUGGUGGCAUACAUCAGGGGGAUGAUGACAUGGACCUUUCUCUUAUUCAUCAGAAUUUGUCUGGUUUUACAUAACUAGAAAACAUGCGGACUUCCUGGACAGUCUAGGAUAUUAAUUUACAGAUAUCUUGCCUUGUCUUUAAACACAUGAGGAUAAAAGGUAAAACUCAAUGAAAAAAGGUGAACAGUAAAACAUUUCUUACCAUUAUAAAAUUAAAUUAUAAUUUGGGAACUACAAUAUGUUUCUAACUGUGUAGAUUUUAAGGUAAUUAUGUUUCUCUUUGGUAAUGUAUUUGCUAUCAACUUAUUGCAUAAAAGGCUUGCUUUUGAAUUCAAGAUUAUUUGUAGAUUUAUAGCCCUUUCAAGUGAAAGGCAGUUUUUCAGAAGUACUUCCGAUUUUCAGUGUCUGGUGAAUCUUCCAUUUGCCAUCAAUAAUACCACCUACAGAAACCCUCUUUCGUAUAAAUCCAGCCUGACAUUCCUGUAAUGCACAGCUCCAAAGUGCUCUGAGGGCAAGAGGCAAUAUUGGUAUGAAUUAUAUCUGAACAGCAUGUGGAAAAUAUUCACCCCACAAUUCAUGAAUUCAGAAUGUUCCCAAACAUGUUUUGGUAUUCUAAGUAGAUAUAGCUGUUUUUAUAUCAGUUGGCUGGCUUGCUAAAUGUUCAGUGAGCACUGUGAAAACUACUGGCUUUAAAAAUAUAUUUAAUUAUUGUUUAGUGUUACCCUAAUGUUCCCUACUCACAUUAUCAAAAUUGUGUGGCUCUAUUAUCCAAUUUAAGGGGUUGGGGUUUGAGUUUUCAAUGUAAAGACUUGGCCUUGUCUUACCUACACCUGUGCCCAGCACCUCAGUGACAACAGACCUCUUGUUGUUGCUUGGGCUCAGCCUGCUUAGGAAGCCUUGGAAAGGACCUGGGGAGGCAGGGAGCCCAGCUAGAGAGACAUUUACAUUUUAUCACAAUGUUACGUUAUAUUGUUACAAUGUCUUAGUUUAGGCAAACUCCUGACUAUGUUGUUCAGUGCUGGGUUGUACUUUAUGCUAUAUUCUUAACCUGAAAGUAUGUGUUAUUUAUAUUGUAUUGUCUGAGAUUGUAGAGCAAGAGCUGCAAUAUAGGCAAAUAAUAAAUUUGAAUUAGAGAUAUUUGAGGAUGGAGUAUUGGGUUAAAUGAGACAGAAUGUCUACACUGUCUAAAUACACUGAAU
rnacentral:lncRNA from 1 species